rnacentral:lncRNA from 1 species
AGCUCUUGCUCUUGCUCCUUUGCCUGCUUGCUGCGUGAGACUGAGUAACUGCUAGAUCCUUGGACUUCCAUUCACAGCUGCGACUGAACAAUUGUUGGGAAUUCGGCUGCCGACUACCACUUGACUGCUCGGUCCUCUGCAGACAGUCCCAGGAGACACACAACCUGCUCCAAACACACUAGUUAAAGACCCAGAAGACCUCUGCCACACUAUCAAGGGGAUAUCUAAAAAUACAGGAAAGUCUCAAGCAGAAAGCAACCAUCACUCCCAUUCCAGCCCCUCAAAGUUAAUCCCCAUUAGUGCAACCAACUCAGACCCUGAUCCCAAGUGUGAUGUCUUGUCACUGUGGCCUUGGCUCAUUUGCCCUAAGAGAAGAGAAGAUGUAUCACACUAGGAUACUCUGCAGUAUAAAAUGGAACCUCUGACCAUCCAACUACAGCAAGGGUGACAGUGACCAGGGGACACAAGCAACUGUCCUUGCCUCACUGCAUGA